GACGAACGCUGGCGGCGUGCUUAACACAUGCAAGUCGAACGAAGUGGCGAACGGGUGAGUAACGCGUAAUCAACCUGCCCUUCAGAGGGGGACAACAGUUGGAAACGACUGCUACUACCACAUACUGAAGGAGGGGAUUGCGUCUGAUUAGCUAGUUGGAGGGGUAACGGCCCAACAGGGCGAUGAUGAGUAGCAGGUCUGAGAUGAUGAACGGCCAAAUUGGGACUGAGAAACGGCCCAGACUCCUAAGGGAGGCAGCAGUGGGGAAUCUUACGCAAUGGACGAAAGUCGGACGGAGCAACGCGGCGUGAGUGAUGACGGCCUUCGGGUGGUAAAGCUCUGUUAAUCGGGACGCGGUACCGGAAUAGAAAGCCACGGCUAACUACGUGCCAGCAGCCGCGGUAAUAC
rnacentral:rRNA from 1 species